GACGAACGCUGGCGGCGUGCCUAAUACAUGCAAGUUGAGCGCUGAAGGUUGGUACUUGUACCGACUGGAUGAGCAGCGAACGGGUGAGUAACGCGUGGGGAAUCUGCCUUUGAGCGGGGGACAACAUCGGGAAACGAAUGCUAAUACCGCAUAAAAACUUUAAACACAAGUUUUAAGAUUGAAAGAUGCAAUUGCAUCACUUAAAAGUGAGCCCGCGUUGUAUUAGGUAGUUGGUGAGGUAAAGGCCCACCAAGGCGAAGAUACAUAGCCGACCUGGGAGGGUGGUCCGCCCAAACGGGACCGGGAACACGCCCAAACCCCUAAGGGAGGCCGCCGGAGGGAAUCUUCGGCAAUGGACGGAAGUCUGAACGAGCCAAGCCGGGGGAGUGAAGAAGGGUUUCGGAUCGUAAAACUCUGUUGGUAGAGAAGAACGAUGGUGAGAGUGGAAAGCUCAUCAAGUGACGGUACCUAACCAGAAAGCGACGGCUAACUACGUG
rnacentral:rRNA from 1 species